GGAUUGUAGCUCAGUGGUAGAGUACUUGUCUUGCAUGCAUGAGGCCCAGGGUUGGAUCCUCAGCACCA
rnacentral:tRNA from 1 species